rnacentral:rRNA from 1 species
UGUGGUUAUAAUAGCAGAGAAGAUACACCUGUUCCCAUUCCGAACACAGAAGUUAAGUUCUCUAGCGCUGAUGGUACUUGGUGGGAAAGUGCCUGGGAGAGUAGGACAUAGCCACGU